GAUGAACGCUGGCGGCGUGCCUAAUACAUGCAAGUCGAGCGAACGGACGAGAAGCUUGCUUUUCUGAUGUUAGCGGCGGACGGGUGAGUAACACGUGGAUAACCUACUUAUAAGACUGGGAUAACUUCGGGAAACCGGAGCUAAUACCGGAUAAUAUUUUGAACCGCAUGGUUCAAAAGUGAAAGACGGUCUUGCUGUCACUUAUAGAUGGAUCCGCGCUGCAUUAGCUAGUUGGUAAGGUAACGGCUUACCAAGGCAACGAUGCAUAGCCGACCUGAGAGGGUGAUCGGCCACACGGGAACUGAGACACGGUCCAGACUCCUACGGGAGGCAGCAGUAGGGAAUCUGCCGCAAUGGGCGAAAGCCUGACGGAGCAACGCCGCGUGAGUGAUGAAGGUCUUCGGAUCGUAAAACUCUGUUAUUAGGGAAGAACAUAUGUGUAAGUAACUGUGCACAUCUUGACGGUACCUAAUCAGAAAGCCACGGCUAACUACGUG
rnacentral:rRNA from 1 species